rnacentral:hammerhead_ribozyme from 1 species
UUCUAGCUGAAGAGUCCCAAAUAGGGUUAAACACGCGUCCUGAAU